rnacentral:lncRNA from 1 species
CGGUGUUAUUGCUGGUCUUAAUGUGAUGCGUAUCAUCAACGAGCCAACAGCAGCUGCAAUUGCCUAUGGUCUUGACAAGAAGGCUACCAGUGUCGGUGAGAAGAAUGUGCUUAUCUUUGACCUUGGUGGUGGCACUUUUGAUGUCUCCCUCCUUACCAUUGAGGAGGGUAUUUUUGAGGUGAAGGCCACGGCUGGUGACACUCAUCUUGGUGGGGAGGACUUUGACAACCGUAUGGUGAACCACUUUGUCCAAGAGUUCAAGAGGAAGCACAAGAAGGAUAUCAGUGGAAACCCCAGGUCUUUGAGAAGGCUCAGGACUUCUUGUGAGAGGGCGAAGAGGACCCUUUCUUC